UCUCUCCUAGUAUAGCGGAUAUUGCGCCUCGAAACUAACCUCAGGAUAUAUCCUGAGGUAUACGUCGGGGAGAUCUAGGUUCGAUUCCUAGGGAGGGUA